CAAAAGGAAGGAAAGCGAGGAGACGGUUGAAGAUUAAUUCAACCUGUGAAAGACUUUUCAUCAUACAGGUUAUCAAGAAUGGAGAAGAAGAAAAUGUAUUGGUUCUAUCAUUUAAAGGUAGUGGUCACUACCCAGAAGACAUCUUCACUGUUGCUUUGCCACUCAAAGACACUGGUUGAAGGAAGUUUGAUUGAUGACUUUGUAAUUGUUAGUACACAUGUGUCUGUCAUACGGGGACUAGUGUUGUAUGUUGGGUUCACUAAGUUGUAAUGUACAUAAGUGUAUGUAUGAACAAUGUUAUGAAACCCUGUAAUGUAAAUGUGUUAAGUUUCUAGUAAUUUAUGUA